rnacentral:rRNA from 1 species
CCUACGGGAGGCAGCAGUGAGGAAUAUUGGUCAAUGGACGAGAGUCUGAACCAGUCAAGUAGCGUGAAGGAUGACUGUCCUAUGGGUUGUCACCUUCUUUUAUAUGGGAGUAAAAUGUUCCACGUGUGGAGUUUUGUAUGUACCAUAUGAAUAAGGGUCGGCUAACUCCGUGCCAGCAGCCGCGGUAAUACGAAGGAUCCGAGCGUUAUCCGGAUUUAUUGGGUUUAGAGGGAGCGUAGGUGGAUUGUUAAGUCAGUUGUGAAAGUUUGCGGCUCAACCGUAAAAUUGCAGUUGAAACUGGCAGUCUUGAGUACAGGAGAGGUUGGCGGAAUUCGUGGUGUAGCGGUGAAAUGCUUAGAUAUCACGAAGAACUCCGAUUGCGAAGGCAGCUCACUGGCCUGUAACUGACACUGAGGCGCGAAAGUGUGGGUAUCAAACAGGAUUAGAUACCCCUGUAGUC